UACGGGGGGAGCAAGCGUUGUUCGGAUUUACUGGGCGUAAAGGGCGCGUAGGCGGCCACCGCAAGUCGACUGUGAAAUCUCCGGGCUUAACCCGGAAAGGUCAGCCAAUACUGCGGGGCUAGAGUGCAGAAGGGGCAACUGGAAUUCUCGGUGUAGCGGUGAAAUGCGUAGAUAUCGAGAGGAACACCUGCGGCGAAGGCGGGUUGCUGGGCUGACACUGACGCUGAGGCGCGAAAGCUAGGGGAGCGAACGGG
rnacentral:rRNA from 1 species